GCCAGUGACAACAGUGUGCUUGGAUGGUUCAUCUGGUUUAAUAGGUUUGUGGGCGCUUCCUUGGUCCGCAAGUUUCAUGAUUUCUUUAACCUUUUCGGGAGCUAAAUCAUUGAACACCAUGACCUGACCAUUGUAGAAGAUGGUCAUCGUUUUUGAUUGAUCUUGUUGCUUGUUUGCUUGUUGCGCGGUGGCGCGUGGGGUUUCAUUCAUGGGAAAAAGACUCAUGGUGGCAGUUAAUUGUGGUGCGCUCCUACCUGAACAAAUUGAAAUUACACAAAAUCAAUAUUUACCUCCAUUAGAAAUUUUUCAAGAACCAAAAGAUUAAUAGUUAAUAAACUUAUACAAAGCGGAACCAAGAGAAGGUCAAGAAGUCCGCUGUUUCCAUCACUAGAAUUUGUUACAAUUUUUACACGUAAUUUUUUUUAUUUAAUAAAAAUAUGAGUUGUACGCCUUAGCUGUAACCAUGGUUAUAAAAGUCAAUAUGCGUCCUUAGUCGAUCGACCGAGAAGUUAAGAGUACUCAGCCUAGGCGGAGAGUACCAGGGGAGUACUCAGACAUGUUAAAUUAUAAAAAAAAAAUACCUAAGUUGACCUACUAGAUCCGAUUCUGACCACGGUUGACCGUGUUUGAUCGAUUCCGAGUAAACAGGCGGAGUUGAAGAAAGUUGUCUCGGCAGACUACCUUGUAGCGCUGCCUUGAAACUCUGUUUUACAACCAUGGUUGUAACUGGUACAGAAAUGAACCUUAGACGGACCUGACCUGACUAAAAGGUUCUGGUUCCGCGAAAUAGUCGUGUAAUUAUAUGGCUAAGGAAUUAAAAACUUACCAAGAGUUAGAUCUGGGAAAGUGUUGUUUUCCUUCAAGUAUUGAGAGAAAAGAUUGCAAGUUUGAGAGAAACUAGACUUCUCGGGUGCCCGGACCUGUGUGUUUUGGCCGGAAUAUCUCAUGGAAUCCACAACUUCCGAUGAAGAAGACAUGAUAUAAUAUUUUUGUGAAGAAGAAAGAAAGAGAGGAAUCUGGAAUU
rnacentral:lncRNA from 1 species